AAAAAUGAUGAAACAAUAAACAGACUAAUUUUAAUGAACGCUUGACUUCCGAUUUUUCAACCGUGGGGAGAAGUCUACAUUUUAUCUGAUA